CAGAACGAACGCUGGCGGCGUGCUUAACACAUGCAAGUCGAACGCGAAAGGGACUUCGGUCCUGAGUAAAGUGGCGCACGGGUGAGUAACGCGUAGAUAACCUGUCUUUAUGUCUGGAAUAAUACGCCGAAAGGGGUACUAAUACCGGAUAUUUUUGCAUUGCAUAAGCAGUGUAAGCAAAGGUGGCCUCUGACAUAAGCUACUGCAUAAAGAGGGGUCUGCGUACCAUUAGCUAGUAGGUGGGGUAAAGGCCUACCUAGGCUACGAUGGUUAGCGGGUCUGAGAGGAUGAUCCGCCACACUGGCACUGGAACACGGGCCAGACUCCUACGGGAGGCAGCAGUGAGGAAUAUUGCGCAAUGGGGGCAACCCUGACGCAGCGACGCCGCGUGAAGUGAGGAAGGCCUUCGGGUCGUAAAGCUCUGUCAAAGGGAAAGAAGUGCAUGGUGGUUAAUACCUGCCAUGUUUGACGGUACCCUUAAAGGAAGCACCGGCUAACUCCGUGCCAGCCGCGGC
rnacentral:rRNA from 1 species